rnacentral:sRNA from 1 species
AAACAAAAUAAAACGCGUUAUGAGCCAGCUCGAUUCCUUACAUAACCAGUAAUUGCAGGGAAUGAGGCAACGUGAGCAGUGUGCCAUGUCAAAGGCCCUUGAAGGGUAAGGAAGCCUAAUUGAUGCAAGAACUCCAAUCAAUGCAGGAACCCCUCGUUCAAGAGCAAAUUGAACUUGAGCUUCGUGUGUAUCUCUUGGUGCAAAUGACACUGGUAAAAUGUCUCGUGACAGAAGAUAUGCUCCCCAACUUGCAACCUGAAUGGUAUAAACAAAUGGAGAAUUUGUGACAUACAAAAACGAACUUCUUCUGGUAAUUAACCAUGUCAAUAGUAAUAGGCUUAUAAUGUGUUCCAAAUUUUUAACAGAAAACCAUUCCAAUGUGAUUACCAAAAUAAUGUUCGUAAUGGAACAUGUUUCAAAACCAUGAGAAAUAAGCUUGAGGGGUCCAACAAAAUGUCUUCUUCUAAUAAUGAAGUUUGAUGAAGUAAAUUGCAAAUCAGAUGAAGAAAGCAUAAUUGCGAUGGUUGGUUAGGGAUUAACAUCUAACUCCAUAAUCAAGAUUGUCCUUUCCAGAGAUUCUUCAACGAACAACAUAAAUUCCAUUAAUAUUAUCACCAUGAUUAGCACCGAUUGAAUUGAAAAAUAUAUUUAGUAUGUUUGGCCAAUUGCGUAGUACUUUAUU